rnacentral:rRNA from 1 species
UAGGGAAUAUUGGACAAUGGGGGCAACCCUGAUCCAGCCAUGCCGCGUGAGUGAAGAAGGCCCUCGGGUUGUAAAGCUCUUUUGUCCGGAAAGAAAAGCUUCGGGUUAAUACCCCGGGGUUCUGACGGUACCGGAAGAAUAAGCACCGGCUAACUUCGUGCCAGCAGCCGCGGUAAUACGAAGGGUGCAAGCGUUACUCGGAAUUACUGGGCGUAAAGCGUGCGUAGGUGGUUGUUUAAGUCUGAUGUGAAAGCCCUGGGCUCAACCUGGGAAUGGCAUUGGAAACUGGGCAGCUAGAGUGCGGUAGAGGGUAGUAGAAUUCCCGGUGUAGCAGUGAAAUGCGUGGAGAUCGGGAGGAACAUCUGUGGCGAAGGCGACUGCCUGGACCAGCACUGACACUGAGGCACGAAAGCGUGGGGAGCAAACA